rnacentral:lncRNA from 1 species
UAAGGGAUAACUCGAAAUGCAAGAUGAUCAUCCGUAUGACAUGGUAAAUACAGAAACUGCUACACUUAUUCCAUCGUCAUACACACCAUACAAGGUUUAGUACAAGACCAAACGAAGUACAACUGCGAUGAAAGGAAGAUUACAUCUUAUCGGAGGCAUCCCAAGCUCCUAUACAUUAUAUUUCUACACCUCCAAAAAGUGGUACCAUCAGCUCAGUCAUAUCCCACAAUCACGCAGGACGGUGGACGAUAUAACUGUUACAAUACUAGUGGUGCUACCAUCAGCUCAAACAUCUCCGUAGUAAUCUUCGUAGAGAUUACCCCCAUGUCCUGGAAGCUGGACGUGAUCAUCUGGAAACAGUCGAUCCUGUGGAGCCUGCAGUCCAUAGGGACACAGAUGUGGCCUGGGACCAACAAAUGGUGACAGAAGAGGUCCAUGGGGAGGAGUGAUGCCCCCUACAUCACGACAAUCCAUAUGAUCCAGCAGACUAGACCGCACGGGGUACAGAUCCCGCAUAUCCAUAUACCCAGCCUGCACAGCAGGUGCAAACCGGGUCAAAGUGUCCCAGUGAUCAGACCGGGAGUUGAAAAGCUCCAAUCGCAAGGCACGAUUUUCACGGUCCUUAUCCUCAAGCAUCUGUGCGGUAGUGCGAAGUAGCGAGUCCUCAUGAUGAGAGUCGGUGUAAAUAGCUGUGAAAUAACCUUCUGCCCCAGGGAGUGACGCUGGCAUAUAGCGGAAGUCAGUGUUCCAAAGCAAGCCAGUUCUAGCCCGCAUAAUAGUCAUCAUUGAAUAGACACUCAACAACAUCAUAUCAAGAUUUUGAGACACUUUGCAAAGGAUUGCAUAGACACUAACAACAUCAUAUCAAGAUUCUGAAUCCAUUUUAGCAACAUAAUGGGGUAGUAGAACUGAACUAGGCUUGUAUCCAUCAAUCAUAUAAGGUACUACUGAUUAGUAACACGUGAACAUGAGAGAAAGUGGUUGGGGCAUUGGUUAAACCGAAGGACAUGACAGUGUACUCGUAUUGGCCAUGACGAGUAACAAAGGCCGUUUUAGAGAUGUCCCCAUUCUUGAUUUUGAUUUAAUGGUAGCCCAACCUCAAAUCCAUCUUAGAGAAGACUGAGGAUCCAGCGAGCUGAUCAUAUAGGUCGUUGAUCCUGGGGAGCGGAUACUUGUUCUUUAUUGUGACCAAGUUAACGGGUCGAUAAUCUACAACCAUCCGAUCCGUACCAUCCUUCUUCUUGACGAAAAGGACGGGACAAGCCCAUGGAGACGAACUAGGACGGAUGAAAUCCUUUUUCAAGGACUCAUCGAGUUGUUUCUUAAGCUCGGCUAGUUCUGGUGGUGCCAUCUUAUAGGGUCUUAUAGAAAUUGGGACAGUUCCUGAAAUAAGAUCUAUCACGAACUCGACAUCUCUGUCAGAUGGAACACCUGGCAAUUCUUCUGGAAAGACAUCCGAAAAGUCACGGACUACCGGAACGUCUUCGAGGUCUGGCAAAGGACUGGCAUUAAGAGAAUAUAGCUGUCGCUUGGCUACUCGGGUCAAGACAUUGACUAUCUUUCCCGAAGGAUGUGUAAGUUGAACAGUUCUAGAGAAGCAAUCAAUCUUAGCAUGAUAUGCUAACAUCCAGUUCAUACCCAAGAUGAUAUUAAUAUCCGAGGAUUUUAGAGCUAUCAAAGACGCAAGAAAAACAAGUUUGUCGACCUAAAUUUCAUUUCGAUGACCCCAACCACGGGUCAGUGCUGCCCACGGCCUCCAGUAAGCUACAAACACCAGAAACUACUUGCAACUCCUGGACAGAGGACUAGGGUGGAUAAGAAGUCGAGCGAGUCAAUUAAGGAUCCCAAUGUAUGGUAGUAGCUGAUUCUUAAAUCACAUAUACAUAUCUCGGUGCUUAAGGACGGUUCCAAUGAAACAACCCACCAUGUACUCCUACAUGGCCUCUCAUUGAUACCUUUACCAAAUCGUGUUUAACACAUCACUCUUAUUACCGAUAUGAUCAUUUCACUCUAGCCCAUCACCCAGAUGAACUAGACUUGACACGACUCUAAACAUAGAAGCCAUAGCAAGGUAGGAAACACAUACACAUGGCUCAAUCAACUCCUACACAUGCUAGUGGAUUUCAUCUAAUUACUGUAGCAAUGACAGGUCAUGCAGAAAAAAUGGGUUCAACUACCGUAGCACACAGCAGUUCGAAUCGUGUUAUCUUAAUGUAGUAAAAAAGAGCAGAGGCGAGAACAUGGGAUUGUAUCGAUAUGAUCAAAUGGUUGGUUGCUUGCCUUACGGGUCCGUGGACUAGUAAUGCUCCUUGUUAGGAUAUUCGCGAUACUCUACGGGGCAGAACCUGCCGCAAAGAGCACCGAUAUACAAUCAUCACCAAACAAUGUGCAACAAUAUGAUGCAUGCAUGAGACAUGGAAAAAUGAGUGUAUUGGACUAAUGCAACUAAGACCAGAUGGGUUUGGACCAUUUUGAAUCAAAGAUUCAAGUUCCAAGCUCACAUAUGGUUCUUAAUAGUGCUUUAUCAUGUUCUGCACUAAACAGUAGGUUAACUUGCUUAAACAUGCAUGAAAACAGUACAGAUGGAUAGAUUAGAUUUUUCUGAUCAUUUUUCAUAUAUAACACUUUGCAUUUGGAGAUACAGAUUAAUUUCUAUGAUUUUUUGAAGUUGUAGUAUUUUCUAGAAUUUCUUGUAUAAGAAUAAUUCCAGUGAUUGAGUUAUUGCAUCAGGGUGACAUCAGCGGUCAACGGGGACGGUCCAGGUCAAACCUGACCAGUGGGUCCCGCGUGUCAGUGUCAUUAGGCUAACUAAUUUUAGUUAGUGCUAAUCCUAGGUUAAUUAACAGAGUGGGCCCCACCUGUCAUUGACCCAGGGGGGUCAAACUGGGCCCACCCGAGGUCAAACUGGGUCAGCGGGGUUAAACUCGCCGGCGUUUAGCCGCCGGCGAGGCCAAACGCGGCGGGGUAGUGCGGUUUUUGUGCUCCGGCGACCAAAAGGGCGGCGAAGGGCAUCUACGUGACGCUGGAGAUGAGCCGCAUCUAGUGGUGGUUGGGCUUGGGGUCGCCGGAAAUGGCACCGACGAUGACCUUGGCGGCUGCCGGAGCUCGAGUGAGCUCGGGCUCGUCGCUAGGAUGCACGGCGAGGAGCGUGGAGUGGUGCGGUGAGCUCCUGGGGGUGCGGUAAGGUUAACGAGCAGGGUGGCGUGGCCGUUGCGUGGCCGGAGUCACGUCGGCGAUGAGCUCAGCGGCGACGCGUGCGGGUGAGCGUCAUGUAGUCGCUACGGUGCUUGAGAGAGAAAACAGAGAGGAUGGGGAGGUAGCCAGGCUCACGGUUGUCACGGCGGAGCAGACGGCGAGGUCGGGGAUGGGCUGCUGCGACGGUGACGGCGAAAGGGAUCUCCGGCGACGGUCGGUGACGUCGGGGUUGGUGGAGGCGGUGCAGAGUGUGCGAGCGCUCGGGGCUCGUCUAGCUCGACGGAGCGGACGACGACAGAGCUCGUGGACACGGUGGAGCGACGCGAGGACGACGAUGGGCGCGGCUACGGCAGCGGAACGAUGGCGGCUACUUCGGCCAUGGCGGGAGAGGGCGAGAGAGGAUAGGGGGGAGAGUGGGGUGUCCAGGGGCUCGGGACGGCGCCGAGAAGGCCCUUCAAGGCGUCGCGAUGGCGCGGGCGACGCAGGCAGGCAGGGAGGUGGCGUGGCAAGCUCGGUGGCGUUGCGUUGUCCCUCCUCUGCCUACUGGCAGAGGUAGGUGGUGACUGGCACGGGCCCGCCAGGUAAGUGGCCUCUGGCCUUUCUCUCUCUCUCCCCUUUUUCAUUUAAUUUGCUUUUCUAUUUUUCUAUAAAUGUUGGGCUUUAUUAAAAAUACUAAAACGUUUUUAAAAAUCCUGCAAAUAAUUAUGGGCUCUGUUGGGAUUAUUCCUAAGAGCCCUCACUUAAAUCCAGAAUUAUUUGGGCACUUGGAUUAUUUUAUAGCAUUUAAAUGCCCAAAUGCAAAUAGAUAAAGAAUCAAUCCAGUGACCUUAAUUGUCCUAGAAAAAUGUGAACCAAUUUUAGCAGAGGUUCUGGACCAAGGCAAAAAUGAUGGAUAUUUUAGAAGGGCAUUUCAGGUUCAUUGAAAUUAUUUUUAGUAAACCCUAGUUGAUUUCAGGGGGCUGGGGGUUCUGUCAUCCCCAUUUCCAGUUUCUGAUGAAAGGUACACAUGAUGCAGCACUCUAAUGCAUGAACUAGCUAGGGUGUGACAGCACUGGUGAGGUGAUUGAAAACAUCUACGUGGCCUGGGCAACUCAAACAUAUAGUUAGUGGCGUGGCGCCCGUGUCGCGUCGUGCAAUGUCCUGCCUCUGCCUACUGGCAGUGGUAGGGGAUGACUGGCAUGCGGGCCGGCUGGGCUGGCUAGUGAGUUUCCUCUCUCUCUACUUUUUCCAUUUAGUUUUGUUUGUUAUUUUCUUUUCUCUGUUUUGAUUUGAUUUCAAACAGAAUCAUUUUGUAAAAUCCUGAAAUAAAUUGUGGACUCUUUCUGAAUUAUUCCAGUGGCCCUCAAUUAGGUUUGAAAUUAUUUGAGCAUUUAAAGUAUUUAUUGCAUGCCCAAAUUCAAAUACUUUAUGGCUUAAUUCAAAAAUCCAAAAGUGUCCGAAAAAUGUGUGGAUCAUUUUUGGCAGAGGUUUGCACCUUUUUCAAAAAUCAUGAACUUUUAUGAAGGGCAUUUUGGAUUCAUUGAAAAUAUUUUUAGCUGAUCCUAUUAUUUUCGAAGGGUUUGUUGGAUCCCCAAUUCAAAAUUCAAGAAAAUUUAAACAUGAUGCACAUGCAAGACUAGCCCAAGUGCAAAGCUAAACUAGGGUUGUGACAUGUAUCAUCUGAAUUUUUUCCUCAACAGAACUCUAAAUUCAAUUUCAGUAAAAUACAACCUACUGUGAGUGACAUGCGGGCGUUGACCUCACUAUUACUCUUACAGUUCGCAUGACAAGAAAAAAUGAUUGACAUUUUGACAACAACAAAAAGGCAAAUAAAACGCAUAAAAACUCACAAAAUUCCAACAGCAGACAGUCCUAUUAACAGAGUCUGGUGGCAGGAACCCGCUGGUUUCUUAUACCGUAGUAAGAAAGCAAAAGGGAAGGAAAUAGUCUAGCAAUAUGUUGUGUGAGAGUUUCUGUGCUGCUUUUGUGAGCGUUUUUUAUUAGUGAGAAAGUAAUAUCGUGUGAGGAGAUCCUUUUGCACUCCUUUCACCUCAGCGUGUUUUCCGAUUCCAUUUUAAUCUGGGCUCUGUUAUUGGCCUUUUUCUGUGAGAAAUGAAAUUAUGUGUAAGCUAAAAGCUCAGGUUUUGUUGUUCUUUUAACCCAAAGCUCAGGUUUUGUUGGCACGCGAGGGUGGUGGAAAUGGAAUAACAUAAAUUACAUUCAUAAGCAUUGUUGUGCAAACAGCUAAAAGUGACGGUGAUCCGAGCUAGAUUAUUUACCAUUUGACCGAUAGACCAUGACGGACUUUUUGCGCAUCAUGAUCUGGCGAGGGACAUGCACCAUCUGAGCGGCCUGCAGAUGUAACAUUAGCAGCGAUGUCACAAGGUAAGCACCAGAAAUUAUUCCUUACUGUAACAAAGCAGAAGAAAAACAGCCCG